UACCGAGGUGAGGGCACUCUGGGGUCCACCUCCCACCCGUGUUUAUUUUACCUUGUUGCUUCGGCGGGCCCGCCUUAACUGGCCGCCGGGGGGCUUACGCCCCCGGGCCCGCGCCCGCCGAAGACACCCUCGAACUCUGUCUGAAGAUUGUAGUCUGAGUGAAAAUAUAAAUUAUUUAAAACUUUCAACAACGGAUCUCUUGGUUCCGGCAUCGAUGAAGAACGCAGCGAAAUGCGAUACGUAAUGUGAAUUGCAAAUUCAGUGAAUCAUCGAGUCUUUGAACGCACAUUGCGCCCCCUGGUAUUCCGGGGGGCAUGCCUGUCCGAGCGUCAUUGCUGCCCUCAAGCACGGCUUGUGUGUUGGGCCCCGUCCUCCGAUCCCGGGGGACGGGCCCGAAAGGCAGCGGCGGCACCGCGUCCGGUCCUCGAGCGUAUGGGGCUUUGUCACCCGCUCUGUAGGCCCGGCCGGCGCUUGCCGAUCAACCCAAAUUUUUAUCCAGGUUGACCUCGGAUCAGGUAGGGAUACCCGCUGAACUUAAGCAUAUCAAUAAGCCGGAGGAAGGGGGAAAACCAAAAAACCACAUUUACUUAACUUCGUUUGUCACUUAGUUUUUGAUGUGUUGUUUUGGUUUUUUGUUUUUUUGUUUGGUGG
rnacentral:misc_RNA from 1 species